GGGACUGGUGGGGAUGGAUGCCACCUCGCCCCCCCCCCCGUCCUCCCAGAUUCCCCCCGGAAGCCUCCCGCACCUUUUGCAGGCCUGGCUCGCGGGGCACGUGACCCCAAAUCUCCAUCCUCUCGUGCAGCUGCGGAGACGGAAGCCGCCGGCAUCGCCCUCCGCCUCCCGCCCCCGGCUCGCGUCCCCGUGCGCGCGCACCCCUCGCCCCCUUUGCCCCGCUCUGGCCGGGCCUCGGCUCCUGGGCGGCUGGCUUGGGAGGACCGGGAUUUUUUUCGGUCAUGUGCGACAAGUGGGCAGCAUCCAGAGAGAAGGGGAACGUGAGCGGUUACUCCCAGCUCACGCGGCAGCCCGGAAAACCAGUUGUUUUAAUCUAGCCAGGAGGGUCCGCAACUACUGCAGCAAACGGAUCUUGUCUUUUAACGAGCAAAUGGUAAUGUGGGUCUGAGAAGUCUAUAAUCGAGAAAAUUACUUUGGCAUCAGAGUUGGCUGCAAUUCCCUUAAAAACUGUCAAGAUUAAAAGAGGACUUCAAACCAAAAGUGGAUUUUUCUCAUGGCAGUCCUAUUGUGUCAUGGAAGGUCCCUAAACUACGCUCGGGCAGGGACAGACAGCACCUUUGUCCUUGCUAUUCAGUAACGAUUUUGAAAUGGAUUUAACUGAAGAUUAGUUUCUAUGUAUGGAUGCAAAUUAUUCUAUAAAACAAUUUAAUGAGGUUUUUGUCUCAAAGAAGGUGAGGAAUUUCUUUUCUAUUCAAAAAUCUCUACUCUCCUGAAGGCUGAAUUACUGUCUUGCUCUUCUUUUACCAAGCAAAAUCCACUUCGAGCAACGCUCGAUAUCUCGACCGGUACUUGUUUCAUCAGCGACAUUUAUCAGGUCUUCUGGAAUAAAUCUACUCCCGGUCAAAGCAGAUUAAGACAAGUCUAAUUCCACCACGCUCUGUAACAAAAGACUCUUUCAAAAAUACACACACACCCAUCGGUUGCACAAGAUGAGCUCAGCUGGCUCUCAGCAGCCUUAUGCUCUCAAAGCGCUUCCAUGCAAGUUCCUGGUAAACUAUUGCUACAUCUGCAAAUUGUAAUUAUUAAUGCUGCAGACCUUGAGCAUUUGGGUUUUGGCCCAAACACUACGUAACAUCCGCGGUGACCAAAACCCCGUGAGGCAUCUUCAGCCUAAGAAAGUUCUUCCUGGGCAGGGUGGUGACCAGAAGGGCUUCUCACCUCUUCUCCUGAUGGGGAACCCAGCGCAGCCCCUACAGACGGCAACAAACUGGGGAAAAGGGGGGUCAGCCGGGAAGGCGCUGCAGGGCUGUGGUGCCCAGGCGGUCUCAGCCUGCUCUGGCCGAGCUGUAAUUCAGCACAACCCACCAACCUGUGGAGCUGGGGAAAGCUGCAAGGCGGGCCGGGAGGAGGAUGCCUCAGCGCCCUGAGCGCUGCCCUCCCAGGUUUUUAUUGCACCACGUCCAUUUGCUGGGGUGUAUCAAUAAUGCCAACUAGCGGCCAAUAUUAGCAACAUUCGUCCUGAAACCUCACUUACAUACACCUGCAGAUAGGGAGAGGUGCUUACCUUGGUAUCUCAGACAGCUGCAAAAAUAAGAAAUAAAAUGCAUUUGUUUCCAAAACCUCUGCUUUUUCCCCUGCUUCAGAACACAGCUUGGACAAGUAUUGUGGAAUUAAAGCUGAUCAGUCUUGGUUUAGGUUAUACCAAUAUACUUGAUUUCCAAAAGA